AAGUAGAGCAAUAAAGAUUUGUGAUGUCCUUAGAGCAUCCUCCCCCCCCCCCCGGCCCGAGAGGGUCAGGAAACCUCUGAACCACCUCCUGUGAUAAUGAUCAGGGCCUGGAACCAACCCCGCGAACAAGGAAUUCCUGGUAGGUGUGGGUCAUCAGCCCACGUCAAUCACAUCCCUGCCCUUUGUACACACCACCUGUCGCUACUACUGAUCAAACGGUCUGGUGAGGUCCUCAGAUCUGGCCAAUGAGUCCACUUAAGCAUGGCGGCGUUCUGUGCCAUUGUCAGUGCGUUCUCUGAUGGCCCAGAAAAGACGACUGAACCUUAUCGCUUAGGGGAAGUAGAAGUCGCAACAAAGUUUCAUGCGGGUAGAAUCCUCA
rnacentral:ncRNA from 1 species